UUAAGCAUAUCAAUAAGCCGGAG
rnacentral:rRNA from 1 species